GAUUUAUUUCAUACUUUGCCUACUGACUUUAGGCAUUCUAUACAUUGCCGGUAACAUAUAUAACAAAAGACAAAAAUUGUUGUUCUCAGUUUAAAGAGAAAAAUUGUUUUCCUCUCUUUAUAUAACAUGGGAACUAUGGUGAAUCCUCUGCAUUGUCUUUGGGAAUAUACAAUUUCAUUCAAAAUUUAAAUCAAAAUGUAGUUUAUUUAAGAACAGUUUUGAUAACUCGGACUGUGUAGCAUCAAGUGAUGCGAUGAGUAAUGAAAUGGAAAACGUGAAAGAAGCAGUCAUAGCCAAAAUCUAUACACGGAUGUGAGAAUGCAUGUUGAAUAAAGAGUCUAACUUCUGAAAGUUAUUAAUAUCCAUCUGGUCUCAAGAUUCAGUUCCAAAUGGAGAUCUCUCUCUCUAUAUUUGCCAGCAUGCGCGUUACAGAAGUGCCUUCAAAUUGUCCACAAGUAAGCUGAAUUUAAAUUUAAAGAGCCAUACCAUCUACAUAAACAAAUUCAGUCUAACACUGACACAUUUUAAUUGGGAUUCAUUGUAAUAUCUUCCCAUGUCCAUAUUGAUUUUAUUCCUAGAAUCACUCGACCUAAAAACAUUCACUUCUGUUUCUUGCUUACUUAUCAUGACUGCCAGUACUUAUUAUAUUCAAAAUUUAUACCCUACUUUAAACCACUCUUUUAGUUUCGUGUAGAUCAGUUCCAUAUCUGAAGCAGAUUUUGCUAACCGCAGUUUUUAUUGUAUAUAAGAUGAAAUUAAUUGGAAACAUUUGGUUGCAGAGCCACUACCAAUGAAAGUGUUAGUAAUACCAUCCUGGAUGCACAAAUACAAGACCCUUUUCAUUUCUCUUAUGAAGUUAAAUUUUAUGCGUGAAAGCAGUAUGUGUCCUCGUGAUCUGCAUGGACGAUCGCUGUCGACCUGUCUCUGAUGCACUGUAUCUCGGGCGAACGCUGUCUGUUCCUCACACGGUCUCUGACAUGCAGUCUCUGAAAUGUCUAGUUGCGGCAGACACCACGAAAGGCAGAGACCUAGACGGUCAGACGCACCAUCGUUCACACACAGGGUCCUGCAGAGGCCAGUUGCUGCAGGUACCGAGGCAGACAGCAACCGGCCAUAUCAUUAUGCGAAAUCAUCAAUGAAAAAGAGCCCCAGCUGAGGAGGUGGUGUGAAGGGAUGGGAAGUGUUAAGACAUGAAGAAGGAUCUUCAGAGAAAACAUGCAAGAUGGGGCACUUUUCAC